AUUGAACGCUGGCGGCCGGCCUAACACAUGCAAGUCGAACGAGUGGCGGACGGGUGAGUAAUGUCUGGGAAACUGCCUGAUGGAGGGGGAUAACUCCUGGAAACGGUAGCUAAUACCGCAUACCAUCGGAUGUGCCCAGAUGGGAUUAGCUAGUAGGUGGGGUAAAGGCUCACCUAGGCGACGAUCCCUAGCUGGUCUGAGAGGAUGCCCCGCCACACUGGAACUGAGACCAGGUCCAGACUCCUACGGUAGGCAGCAGUGGGGAAUAUUGCACAAUGGGGGCAAGCCUGAUGCAGCAAUGCCGAGUGUAUGAAGAAGGCCUUCGGGGUGUAAAGUACUUUCAGCGGGGAGGCGUUACCCGCAGAAGAAGCACCGGCUAACUCCGUGCCAGCAGCCGCGGUAAUUC
rnacentral:rRNA from 1 species